rnacentral:rRNA from 1 species
CAGCAGCCGCGGUAAAACGUAGGGUGCAAGCGUUAAUCGGAAUUACUGGGCGUAAAGCGUGCGCAGGCGGCUAUGCAAGACAGAUGUGAAAUCCCCGGGCUCAACCUGGGAACUGCAUUUGUGACUGCAUGGCUAGAGUACGGUAGAGGGGGAUGGAAUUCCGCGUGUAGCAGUGAAAUGCGUAGAUAUGCGGAGGAACACCGAUGGCGAAGGCAAUCCCCUGGACCUGUACUGACGCUCAUGCACGAAAGCGUGGGGAGCAAACAGGAUUAGAUACCCCAGUAGUCCCUGUCUCUUAUAC